UACUCCAGGUGGCCCGUGUCACCUGCCUAUGAUGUGUGUCUGUGGGAAGUUAGAGCCAUGCCUGCCUCUGCCUGGCUCCAGCAGCUGUCACUUACCUGAUGGCAGAAUGCUCAGUAGUAGUCCAUCUACGUAUAGAUUGUUGUAUUAGGAAGGAGUAACUUGGGAAUGCAGCUGUUUGUAGAAUGCUUGCCUACCAUGCACAAAGCCCUGAGCUUGAUCCCUAGCACCACGUUAACCAGACAUAGUGGGGUACGCCUAAAAUCCCAGCACUUGGGAGAUAGAGGCAGAUUUGAGGUCAUCAUUGGCUAGACAGUGAAUUUAAGGCCAGCCUGGGCUAUACAAGACUAUCUUAAAAGAAAAAAAAAAGCUAUAUCUCAGGCUGGCCAUGAUCUGUAGCAGAGGAUAAUCUUGCUCUGAUACUUCUGCCUCCCUCUCCCAACUGCUGAUUGACAGGCGUGCACCCCAUGACUUCCCACUUACUAGGACCCAGCUGGCUUUCGUCUGCACAUUCACUCAACGUUCUGGAAACAUGCUCCAUGCUAGACAGUGCCAGACCCAGGUCUCAAGGACAUGAUAGAGAGGAGAUUUGUAAGGCUGAGAGCAAAGUGACCUCGAAGAGAAGAACCCUGAGUGAGUUGGUGGGAUUCCAGAAACUUCCCAGAAGACUUGAACCAGAGAACUUAGAGAAGGAACGAGAGCCCACCAAGGAAAGAGGGUGUGAUAUAAUUAUGGUCGUUUUUGGUAUGUGUUGAUCUGGGAGUUCAAGUGUGGCAUGUGGGAGAGAGAAGAGGUUGUAGCAGAGACAGAGGCUCUACUGGCAAAAGGGGCAGAGUUAGCAAUGGCCUCAUUGGCUGUUGUGUGGUGCCCAGGAGCAAUGCUAGACGUCAGGAAGUUCACAAGGGGCAAGGCCUGCCAACAGGAAGGGAUAAAAAGGGGGUAGGGGGAUGUCAGCCUGUGAUGUCCUUUAUAGAACAGGUACAAAGUGGAACACGUAAUGACACCAUCUCAUCCUCCCUUCUGAACAGAUCUUAGCCCAAGUGAUGGGACUGUGACUGUUGAUAGUGAAGUGUGACAAUGUCUUGGUGGCUCUCUCCAUACCCUGUUCCAUAGAUGUGGCUAUCCAUUCGCUGGAACAAGAGGAGCAGGACUGAAGAAGCAAGGGUCCAUCAAGGGCUCCCAUUGCUCUGGCUGAGCUGAUGCCCAGUCAAUCUGGAAUUGUGGAACAGUGUCAUGUUUUGCGAUUUAGGGUUUACUAGUGGGGGCUUGGGCAUCCCCCUAGCUGGGAUUUGGUUUAUCUGAGUGGUAUGACCUUGGGAAAGCCAUUUCACACUGAGCCUCUGCUUCUCCACCCGUAAGACAAGGAAAAGUAUAGGUCUUUGAAGGGCUUGAGAGCGCAGUAUAGGACCGUCACGGGGCUCUAUGUUAGAUUUCUUGCCCCACCUGUUUGCUCUGUUGGAAUAGAUCUGCAGUGGAUGCCAUUUAUAAAGCAGGCUGUGAGAAUGCAGGAUUCAGGUCAGAGGGAGGCUGAUGAUGGAAGGGUUCCUUUUGACAGGAACCCUUGGCCAGGCUGCACAGCGCACUGCAUGUUUAUUCUGUGGAGUUUGACUGCCCUUCCUGGUUCCAGGGAACCAGUAGCCUGAAUCUUGCAAUUCCUCGAAGUUGGUGUUUUCUCUUGGAUUUGGGGCUGUCAAGGCCAAGUUUCCAUAAUCUAAAGACCAACACCAUCUGGCUGGUAGGAGGGCUUGGAUGGCUUGUGCAACUCUCUGGAAGGAAAUCUACCUGACAAGCAGAGAACAAGAUGCUGGAAGGUAGGGUCCAGCACCCCAAAGUAGGACCUCAUUCCUUCUCCUGACCUGAUUUUUGCUAAUAGUGACUGGCAUCUGUCCGGCAUGGCCCAUACCACGUGCCUUCUCCCCUCUAUCUCCUCCAUUCCUGCUGACUGCAGGCAAACCCCUGGUCUUUAAUGGAACCACCCUACACGUGCUGUUAUCUAACAAGGAAAAGUUUGGAUCCUGAGAAAGCAAAUAAACAUUUCAAGUAUUUUGGGGACCUAACAAGUCCUUCAUC
rnacentral:lncRNA from 1 species